GACAUGUUUUUUCUAUGAACCAUUUUCAGUUUUACUGAAAAUUUUAGUGUAACUUUUAUUGCUGCAUGGUAAUUUUAAACACAUACAUAGUUAACUUUUUCAUAAAAAAAUUUUGGUUUGUAAUAUUUUAGUAAUAUCGUAUUAAAUAUGUUAAGCGAGGAAAAUAUCGAUUUUCAGUUGUUAAAAAUUAGAAGAUGCAACUUUGCUUGCAUUUAAGGCGCUCCCUUUUCUUAUGAUAGCACCUCCACAGAAGGGCAAGAAGAGUCCAAGAAUUUGGCUUUAUUUUAUAGAGAAAUGGAUGUACACCUCAGUCUUAAAAGCUCCCUUGAGUUAUUGAAGAAGGAGAAAGUUUUUCUACUGAUUUUAUUCAAGUGUUUCAGCACUCUAUUUAUAAUUUAAAUUAUAACUAUAAUUAUAAGUCGAUAAUACAGCUAUACGGUUGGAAGCCAUACCGAGUAUUGGAUUUGCUUUUGAGUUGCUGCUAGUCUCAUGUAUUUAAUGUCAAUUUUCCUCAUGAACUUAUUUGUGUAUAUGGAUUUAUGGGAAAUUUGCUUGGAAUAAACAACAAAAGAAUUAUCGUCAAUUCCUUUUAAAUAAAGUAUUGUCAAAAGUUUAAGAUUAAAUUAAGCAAUAUGUUUGUGAAACGAAAAAGUAUUUUUAUCACUUUCUUGUUUAUUUUUGUUAUAUCGUCAGCCGAGAACCAAGAGACCGUAUGUCUUUUUUUUGUGUU
rnacentral:lncRNA from 1 species